CGGGAUCCGCCAUUUCAACUUCUUGCCGCAGACAUAUCUGCUGCCUUCUGAGUACCAGGACUUUUGUACUGCAUUCUCCAGGGAUCGCGGUCUGUGGAUUGUUAAGCCGGCUGCUUCUUCUCGUGGUCGUGGAGUCUAUGUCAUUAACUCGCCGUCUCAGAUCACGCAUGAAGACAACACAUUGGUGUCUCGUUAUGUCAGUAAUCCGCUGCUGAUAGAUGGGUUUAAGUUUGAUGUCCGGCUAUACGUGCUGAUCACUUCAUAUGAUCCUCUCGUUAUCUAUCUUUAUGAGGAAGGGCUUACCAGGU